rnacentral:rRNA from 1 species
AUUGAACGCUGGCGGCAUGCUUUACACAUGCAAGUCGAACGGUAACAGGCCGCAAGGUGCUGACGAGUGGCGAACGGGUGAGUAAUGCAUCGGAACGUGCCCAGUCGUGGGGGAUAACUACUCGAAAGAGUAGCUAAUACCGCAUACGAUCUAUGGAUGAAAUCGGGGGACCGUAAGGCCUCGCGCGAUUGGAGCGGCCGAUGUCAGAUUAGGUAGUUGGUGGGGUAAAGGCUCACCAAGCCAACGAUCGGUAGCUGGCCUGAGAGGACGACCAGCCACACUGGGACUGAGACACGGCCCAGACUCCUACGGGAGGCAGCAGUGGGGAAUUUUGGACAAUGGGCGCAAGCCUGAUCCAGCAAUGCCGCGUGCAGGAAGAAGGCCUUCGGGUUGUAAACUGCUUUUGUACGGAACGAAACGGCUCUGGUUAAUACCCGGGGCUAAUGACGGUACCGGAAGAAUAAGCACCGGCUAACUACGUG